rnacentral:rRNA from 1 species
UACGUAGGGGGCAAGCGUUGUCCGGAUUUAUUGGGCGUAAAGAGCGUGUAGGCGGUUUGGUAGGUCCGCUGUGAAAACUCGAGGCUCAACCUCGAGACGCCGGUGGAAACCAUCAGGCUAGAGUCCGGAAGAGGAGAGUGGAAUUCCUGGUGUAGCGGUGAAAUGCGCAGAUAUCAGGAAGAACACCCGUGGCUAAGGCGGCUCUCUAGUACGGUACUGACGCUGAGGUACGAAAGCGUGGGGAGCAAACAGG